CAUGCAAGUCGAACGAUGAUUAUCUAGCUUGCUNGAUAUGAUUAGUGGCGGACGGGUGAGUAACAUUUAGGAAUCUGCCUAGUAGUGGGGGAUAGCUCGGGGAAACUCGAAUUAAUACCGCAUACGACCUACGGGUGAAAGGGGGCGCAAGCUCUUGCUAUUAGAUGAGCCUAAAUCAGAUUAGCUAGUUGGUGGGGUAAAGGCCCACCAAGGCGACGAUCUGUAACUGGUCUGAGAGGAUGAUCAGUCACACCGGAACUGAGACACGGUCCGGACUCCUACGGGAGGCAGCAGUGGGGAAUAUUGGACAAUGGGGGCAACCCUGAUCCAGCCAUGCCGCGUGUGUGAAGAAGGCCUUUUGGUUGUAAAGCACUUUAAGCAGGGAGGAGAGGCUAAUGGUUAAUACCCAUUAGAUUAGACGUUACCUGCAGAAUAAGCACCGGGCUAACUCUGUGCCAGCAGCCGCGGUAAUACAGAGGGUGCGAGCGUUAAUCGGAAUUACUGGGCGUAAAGCGAGUGUAGGUGGCUCAUUAAGUCACAUGUGAAAUCCCCGGGCUUAACCUGGGAACUGCAUGUGAUACUGGUGGUGCUAGAAUAUGUGAGAGGGAAGUAGAAUUCCAGGUGUAGCGGUGAAAUGCGUAGAGAUCUGGAGGAAUACCGAUGGCGAAGGCAGCUUCCUGGCAUAAUAUUGACACUGAGAUUCGAAAGCGUGGGUAGCAAACAGGAUUAGAUACCCUGGUAGUCCACGCCGUAAACGAUGUCUACUAGCCGUUGGGGUCCUUGAGACUUUAGUGGCGCAGUUAACGCGAUAAGUAGACCGCCUGGGGAGUACGGCCGCAAGGUUAAAACUCAAAUGAAUUGACGGGGGCCCGCACAAGCGGUGGAGCAUGUGGUUUAAUUCGAUGCAACGCGAAGAACCUUACCUGGUCUUGACAUAGUGAGAAUCCUGCAGAGAUGCGGGAGUGCCUUCGGGAAUUCACAUACAGGUGCUGCAUGGCUGUCGUCAGCUCGUGUCGUGAGAUGUUGGGUUAAGUCCCGCAACGAGCGCAACCCUUUUCCUUAUUUGCCAGCGGGUUAAGCCGGGAACUUUAAGGAUACUGCCAGUGACAAACUGGAGGAAGGCGGGGACGACGUCAAGUCAUCAUGGCCCUUACGACCAGGGCUACACACGUGCUACAAUGGUAGGUACAGAGGGUUGCUACACAGCGAUGUGAUGCUAAUCUCAAAAAGCCUAUCGUAGUCCGGAUUGGAGUCUGCAACUCGACUCCAUGAAGUCGGAAUCGCUAGUAAUCGCAGAUCAGAAUGCUGCGGUGAAUACGUUCCCGGGCCUUGUACACACCGCCCGUCACACCAUGGGAGUCUAUUGCACCAGAAGUAGGUAGCCUAACGCAAGAGGGCGCUACC
rnacentral:rRNA from 1 species